AGUGAACGCUGGCGGUAGGCCUAAUACAUGCAAGUCGAACGGCAGCACAGUAAGAGCUUGCCCUUACGGGUGGCGAGUGGCGGGCGGGUGAGGAAUACAUCGGAAUCUACUUUUUCGUGGGGGAUAAUGUAGGGAAACUUACGCUAAUACCGCAUACGACCUACGGGUGAAAGCAGGAGAUCUUCGGACCUUGCGCGAUUGAAUGAGCCGAUGUCGGAUUAGCUAGUUGGCGGGGUAAAGGCCCACCAAGGCGACGAUACGUAGCUGGUCUGAGAGGAUGAUCAGCCACACUGGAACUGAGACACGGUCCAGACUCCUACGGGAGGCAGCAGUAGGGAAUAUUGGACAAUGGGCGCAAGCCUGAUCCAGCCAUACCGCGUGGGUGAAGAAGGCCUUCGGGUUGUAAAGCCCUGUUGUUGGGAAAGAAAAGCAGCAGGUUAAUACCCCGCUGUUCUGACGGUACCCAAAGAAUAAGCAACGGCUAACUUCGUG
rnacentral:rRNA from 1 species